rnacentral:rRNA from 1 species
GCUCGAGUGGCGAACGGGUGAGUAACACGUGAGUAACCUGCCCUUGACUUUGGGAUAACUUCAGGAAACUGGGGCUAAUACCGGAUAGGAGCUCCUGCUGCAUGGUGGGGGUUGGAAAGUUUCGGCGGUUGGGGAUGGACUCGCGGCUUAUCAGCUUGUUGGUGGGGUAGUGGCUUACCAAGGCUUUGACGGGUAGCCGGCCUGAGGGGGUGACCGGCCACAUUGGGACUGAGAUACGGCCCAG